UCUUAUCCAAAUGAUUUUUUGGUUAUCUUUUCCCAACACUGCUCAGUGGUUCCCAGACGUAGGGAGGAAUUUUCCACCCCGAUGAGUAUUAUUUAGAAUUUAGAUACGCACGGGAGGAACAUAAACAUAAUACAUAGUGGCGAGGAAUUGAGGAAAUUACGAGAAUAGCAUUCAACGAAAAUCAAAUUAUCACAAAUAGAUAGUAUAUUAAUUCAAACUCGACAGUUUAAACACUUUAAGUUUUAUCGACUCACCCGUUGAGAAACAAAACUAAUACUGAUGGACUUCGCCACUAGGAAAACAUUGUUCGAAGUCGAUUUUGUCACUUCUCAAAGUAUGCAAUGUUUUCUAAGUUCAAAAUUGAACGGGGAGGUGUGAUGUCUGACUGUAGUUGGCGGCGGGAAGUGUAAAAGGAUGAGAAUCACUGAGCCAGAGUCCUAUGUUAUAUAUAUAUAUAUAUAUAUAUAUAUAUAUAUAUAAUAUAUAGCUGUCUAAAUUUGAACGUGUCGCGUCAUCCGUGAAAUGGCGAAUAAACGAUUAAAAGCGUUUUGGGCGUCAGAAUCAACCGACGUGGUACACAUAAUAGCUAAUAACAUAUUAUUAGAGUUUGUCGUACAGUUUAGUUCGCGGCCGAACGUGCGCACCGAAAGCUUUAUUAAACGUCGACUUUGUCCGUAUUUAGUGGUCGUGUGUAUUAAACUUCGCCGUCGUUGCAGAUUAACUCGGCGUUAUAUAAGCGCAUUUUAUGGUAUAUUGUACGGUAGAGCACUAUACAUAGAUGGUCUAGUGACGGGAACGAUGAUAUUGAGCUGAGAAUAUUACUGAAUAUCGAUAUGAUAUUAUAAUUUAUAAUAUCGUCCGAAGAGCGAAGUUCACAAAUCGGCCUUUUCGUCAGAUGUUGUGUUUGCCAGACACGACGUGUCGUCAGCUGCCGCUAUAUUAUGACCGUGUCCGUAUGCUGCAAAAAAGUGAGACAUUCACAAUAUUUUAACCCCAAUACAAGUUAAUCUAUAGAAGCAGAACCUACGAAGUUAGACGAUGACGCUUUUUGUACGUUCGCGGUACGACCAUUUAACCCAAGUACCUACUACAAAGUUUUGUGAAGAUGGUGGAGAUGCCAAUUCUAAUAACACAUGUGACUUAGGCAAAUGUAAUUUUUUUAAAUACAAUUCCGACUACAGGUACCGGAAUACAGGUUAUUUUGCAAAUAGAACAUUGCGUGCCGAAAUUAUUGCCAACAAAUCUAAAUUUUUGGAUUUAUACACUAGAAUAUACACUAAAUAUUCGCGUGAUCAGCAUAAACAAUGGAGUGAGGUAUAUACACAUCCUGGAGAAUCUGAAUACUGUAAGGGACCAACAACAUGCAGAGAUGCUACAGAGAGUGUCCCCUGAAAAUCAAAAUGUGUCCCCUGAAUGACCAAUGUGUGUGCCAAGUUUUUUGACGUGUUUUUAGUUUUGUAGAAAUAAAAAACAUUAUUCAUUUAAUA